rnacentral:rRNA from 1 species
UUGGAGGGCAGUCUGGUGCCAGCAGCCGCGGUAAUUCCAGCUCCAAUAGCGUAUAUUAAAGUUGUUGCAAUUAAAAAGCUCGUAGUUGAAUUUCGGGGUUCUACCGUUGGUCGGGCUUUGUCUGUACUGGUGUGUAGAAUUUCUACCUUCUGGGGAACCAUCAUGCUAUUAAUUUAGCGUGGUGGGAAACCAGGACCUUUACCUUGAAAAAAUUAGUGUGUUCAAAGCAGGCUUAUGUCUGAAUACAUUAGCGUGGAAUAAUAGAAUAGGACGGUGGUCCUGUUUUGUUGGUUUCUGAAUCACCGUAAUGAUUAAUAGGGAUAGUUGGGGGCAUUAGUAUUCAAUUGUCAGAGGUGAAAUUCUUGGAUUUAUUGAAGACUAACUUCUGCGAAAGCAUUUGCCAAGGAUGUUUUCAUUAAUCAAGAACGAAAGUUAGGGGAUCGAAGACGAUCAGAUACCGUCGUAGUCUUAACCAUAAACUAUGCCGACUAGGGAUCGGACGAUGCUAAUUUUUCUUGACUCGUUCGGCGCCUUACGGGAAAC